GGGAUUGCCUCAGUAACGGCGAGUGAAGCGGCAAAAGCUCAAAUUUGAAAUCUAGGCACCUUCGGUGCCCGAGUUGUAAUUUGAAGAUGGGUAACCUUUGGGUUUGGCUCUUGUCUAUGUUCCUUGGAACAGGACGUCAUAGAGGGUGAGAAUCCCGUCUGAUGAGAUGCCCAUUCCUAUGUAAGGUGCUAUCGAAGAGUCGAGUUGUUUGGGAAUGCAGCUCUAAGUGGGUGGUAAAUUCCAUCUAAAGCUAAAUAUUGGCGAGAGACCGAUAGCGAACAAGUACAGUGAUGGAAAGAUGAAAAGAACUUUGAAAAGAGAGUGAAAAAGUACGUGAAAUUGUUGAAAGGGAAGGGCAUUAGAUCAGACUUGGUGUUUUACGAUUAUCUUCUCUUCUUGAGUUGGGAACUCGUAUUUCACUGGGCCAGCAUCCAUUCUGAUGGCAAGAUAAUGGCAGUUGAAUGUGGCUUCGCUUCGGUGGAGUGUUAUACCUUCUGCUGAUAUUGCCUGUCUGGAUCGAGGGCUGCGUCUUUUGACUAGGAUGCUGGCGUAAUGAUCUAAUGCCGCCCGUCUUGAAACACGGACCUCCUGAGGAAGGGCUCAAAAUUAA
rnacentral:rRNA from 1 species